AUUGAACGCUGGCGGCAGGCCUAACACAUGCAAGUCGAACGAGUGGCGGACGGGUGAGUAAUGGUUGGGAAACUGGCUAAUGGAGGGGGAUAACGACGGGAAACUGUAGAUAAUACCGCAUACCAUAGGAUGAGCCCAGGUGGGAUUAGGUAGUGGGUGGGGUAAUGGCCUACCAAGGCGACGAUCCCUAGCUGGUCUGAGAGGAUGACCAGCCACACCGGGACUGAGACACGGCCCAGACUCCUACGGGAGGCAGCAGUGGGGAAUAUUGCGCAAUGGGCGCAAGCCUGACGCAGCCAUGCCGCGUGAAUGAAGAAGGCCUUCGGGUUGUAAAGUUCUUUCGGUAGCGAGGCGUUAAUCACAGAAGAAGCACCGGCUAACUCCGUGCCAGCAGCCGCGGUAAUUC
rnacentral:rRNA from 1 species